AAAGUCAGCCGGACAGUCGCUGCCUGUUUACAGGGAGAGGAAAGUCCGGGCUCCAUAGGGCAGGAUGCCGGUUAACGACCGGGCGUCGCGAGGCGACGGAAAGUGGAACAGAGAGCAGAACCGCCGAUGGCCGGGCAACCGGCACAGGCAAGGGUGAAAAGGUGGCCCUUCGGGGUGGAUGGCUGGCAACAGGCAUUCCGGUAAGAGCGCACCGCGGACGUGGCAACACGGACGGCAGGCUAAACCCCAUCCGGAGCAAGAUCAAAUAGGGGAACGUUCAUGUGGCCCGCAUGGUUCCCGGGUAGAUUGCUGGAGCCGUCAGGUAACUGCCGGCCUAGAGGAAUGACUGUCACCGGUGGCAACACCGGUACAGAACCCGGCUUACAGGCUGACUUUGCGC
rfam:Aquaspirillum sp. LM1, complete genome.